GUAUAAUGGGUCAGCGACUUAUAUUCUGUAGCAAGGUUAACCGAAUAGGGGAGCCGAAGGGAAACCGAGUCUUAACUGGGCGUUAAGUUGCAGGGUAUAGACCCGAAACCCGGUGAUCUAGCCAUGGGCAGGUUGAAGGUUGGGUAACACUAACUGGAGGACCGAACCGACUAAUGUUGAAAAAUUAGCGGAUGACUUGUGGCUGGGGGUGAAAGGCCAAUCAAACCGGGAGAUAGCUGGUUCUCCCCGAAAGCUAUUUAGGUAGCGCCUCGUGAAUUCAUCUCCGGGGGUAGAGCACUGUUUCGGCAAGGGGGUCAUCCCGACUUACCAACCCGAUGCAAACUGCGAAUACCGGAGAAUGUUAUCACGGGAGACACACGGCGGGUGCUAACGUCCGUCGUGAAGAGGGAAACAACCCAGACCGCCAGCUAAGGUCCCAAAGUCAUGGUUAAGUGGGAAACGAUGUGGGAAGGCCCAGACAGCCAGGAUGUUGGCUUAGAAGCAGCCAUCAUUUAAAGAAAGCGUAAUAGCUCACUGGUCGAGUCGGCCUGCGCGGAAGAUGUAACGGGGCUAAACCAUGCAC
rnacentral:rRNA from 1 species